UCUAUUCAUCGCUGGUUCUUUGUUCCUCUACUGGUUCUUUGUUCCUCUUCAUCACUGGUUCUUUGUUCCUCUUCUCCAUUGAAGAAGUCUCUAGUUCUUUGUUCCUCUUCUCCACCACCGGUUAACCCAUUCAAAAGCUGCAAGAACUGGAAACGGAAGCUAAGCUCUCUGGAAAUUCGGAAAGCAGAAGAUUAGAUCUCCAACUACCCUCCCAAAUAUUUUCCAGGUCUUGACUUCUUCACUUCUUCAACUAUCAUUCUAUCUUUUGCGAUCUACAAAUAACAUCUUGGAAUGUCCAACCUUUAAUAUCUAUAUUACACCCACCCUUUUUGAGACUUUAGACUAUUCUUAGAUUCAAUUUAUUAGUGAAUUGUUUCAAUUAGACUUUAGGCUUACAAGUGUUCAAGCCUGUUAUUGUUAAUCUGUUGUCAGCAAUGCUGAAUCGUGGAACAAAGUUAAAGGCAUGGCAUGGACAAAAAAAAUACCCGGUUGUGGUCCCAGUUAUGUUUGUGGUAUCAGUCUCAGUAGCAUUAGUGUUCCUUUUCCACAGAAAUGAUGAAAAACGGAUUCAGGCAUACGGACUGCCACCGGAGAGAAAAUGGAAUAGGUUUGAGUCUUUGGUGCAGUUUAAUCCAAAAAGAGAAUUCCGGAAUGGGACGGAUUUGAUAUGGCAAAUACCCGAUUCGCCUAAGGCUGUUCUUUUUCUAGCUCAUGGAUGUAGUGGUAGAGCUGUUAAUUUUUGGGAUAAGUCUCCUAAAUGUCCUGAAUGUGUUGGUUUGCCUGAGGAAAGGCUGCUUGUGCUUCAUGCUCUUGCUCGUAAAUUUGCUGUCUUGACUAUAUCAAGUGCAGGGAGGUGCUGGGCAUUUGGGGAAGAAAGGUUGAUUGUUGAAGAUAUUAUAACAUGGUGGGUUAAGAGACAGAACCUUGGAAAGCUUCCUCUUGUGGCUUUGGGGGCCUCUUCUGGUGGGUAUUUUGUAUCUGCAAUUGCUAAUGAUUUGAAGUUUAGUAGUAUUACACUUGUGAUUGCUGAAGGAUUAUUUGAUCACAUGGACAUUAGAGAGGACUAUCCACCGACCCUUUUUGUGCACAUGCCUAAAGAUUUACGCAGGCAACAAAAAAUAACUGAAUUCAUUGAAGUUUUGAGAAAUAAAGGGGUUGAUGUUGCAGAGAUUGAAUGCAUGGAGUUGCCUCUGUCACCAACUUUUUUGUUUGAUAGAAUCCCAGGUCUUGAUCAGACUAUUUCUGCUACUUUGUUCAACUUAUUCAGGGAGAAAGGCUUUGUCGACGAGAAUGGGUAUAUGAAACGGGAUGGGCGUGCGACACGUUGGAAAGAUGCUCUCCAGGAUAGUAAGCCUAAUUUGCUAGAAAAGGAUUUGGUGCAUCCCGUUGAGGAGGAGCUAAAUCUUGCAUUUGCCUAUCAUGAAAUGACUAGUUUGCAAUCUGAAGAGAUUUUUAAAUGGUUUGAGUCUCAUAUGGCCUGAACAGUACUCAAUUGUGCCACAUUCUCCUUUCUUUCUGUUUGACCAAAGUACUGACUGUCAAAAGUGAUCGUACAUACAACUCAUCGUAACAAUCCCUGAAUUUGAGCUGGACUGAAUUGUUUAUUGCUUGAAGCUUGUCUUCAAACAACUGAAGACUAGGAUGUAAAGUUACUACCUUGAACCAAACUGCAACAUCCACUAUGUAUUAGUUUGAUGCAACCAUUGCAGUCGCUACAUGAAUCUGCUCAGUCCAGUCUGGUGUCUGCAUCAAAAAACCAUCUAAAGAGGUUUAAAGGUUCAAAGAGUUAAGUAGAUCUUGAAGGAAGUAUCAGCAACUCCAUGCUCGAUGUUCGUGGUGCUCUUCAAUUUACAUGAGAUACCCAACCUGAUUAAUGCACCAUCUCACCUCAUCAUACUUUGAAAAUUAAAAUAAAAUUACAUAAGCUCAUGUGCUAAUUCUGCUUGUGCAUCAAUAAACUUUCAGCAAGCAUUUUCUUUUUUCUUAAUGUAAAUGUUUUCAAGUCUAUGUUACUAAGACUUGUCGGACACGUGUUUAUUCAAACUUUUCCAAGAUUUCCAUGUAUUUUCAGAGUUCUUAGAGGACCAUAUCCCUAUACCCUUUUCCGGAUAUACAUUUGAUAUGGUUACCAGACAUGAGUACUUCAGGAAAAAAAAAAAGAGUCGAAACAACAUAGUUUCAAGUUACUAAAAUGCCAUUUUGACUUGGCCUUUUACGGUAAUUUUUCUUGCCUUGCAGAGAUCAUACCCGCGUUCUAUUUAACCGAAUAUGGGUUGGUAUGCCUUUAUUUUUUGCAUUGAUUUUAACUCUUCUAUUGUCUUGCAAACUGGUAACCCUUGAUCUAUUUGUAACUAUGUAAAAAAAAUUUUGAAAAUGUUCAAAAGAACAUAGAUAUGUUCUAAUUGAAAUUCUCUUACCAAUGGAUGGAUAAAUUUACACAUGAAAAUUGUCAAGGCGUGUUAUAUAUGGUUUUAGGUUGUAUUCUUAACAUGAUAUAGAGCCCAAGUGUUUGUUAAGUUCUUCCUGCCUAAACCAUGUGAAACUGACGAUCCUCAGUGAGGUUGUUCACUGUAAGUUCAUGUUGAGCUACACAUAGAGGGGAGCAUCAAUGGGUGUUAUCUUACACCUAUCAAGUAUUUAGUUUCACAUGGUCUUUAUAUUGUAGCUGUAUCUUCCACCUAUUACAUCUUAUUAAAUAUCUUUUGUUUUUUAUUAUGUAUCUGGCUUCCUUGGUGAAGCUUUUAUGGAGCUGCCGCGUCUGUCGUGAUCAUGUGGUAGGCUGGUAGCCAUAUAUGUUUAUUAACUUGUUGAAAUAUUUAAAAUAAUGUUUCCUUAAGGUAGGACAAGAAGUAAAUGAUAAAAGAUUUCGAGCUACAUCUUUUGGAAAUUGUUUGUAUCAUCAUUAACUAGCUUGUUUGUUACUGUUGAUUUGCUGUUAGCAUAUGCAACUACUAAGCUUUUUUCUGUUUUACCCUUCUUCCAUUUUCUGGAAGACUAGGGUAAACCGAAAUAUUUACGUUGGCAUCUGAGAUGUCCUGAAAAAUCAUCUAUGGGCACAAAAUUAUUCUCUCUAUAGUGGUGAAUCAGAUAUGCCUCGCAGGGUUCUGCAAUCUGAUUUCACUACUACCAAAAGUUAAGUGCAAUUCUAGAAAAUGGCUGCAGUUAUAUGCAUUCCUUGAAUGGAUGAGUAGGAAAUUUUUGGCUGAAUGCUACAAUGAUAACAUGAAUGCAAGUACUACGAGGUAUUCAGACACUGGAUGGGAAUCUAUGAAAACAAUUUUCACUUCUUCCAUACAAUCAUGAUUGCAACCCGUAGGAAAGAAAGUCGAGAAUACUAAGGAGCAGUAAUUUCUCAUGAUCAGCUGGUGCUUAAGUUGCCUCCCAAAUAAUUGUUCACUUUCCUUGUUUAUCAAUUGUGUAAACGAUUUCUUACUGGUCAUUAUAACAAGCAAAAGGUAUGUUUUCCUUUGGGUUUCCUUCAGAGUUGUUUUCCUGUUGACCAUCCUAACUUUUACCUUCAUUUGAGACAGAAUCCCAUAACUGUGACGUUGUUUCAAUGAAUUGGUAGCGAACCAGGAUUGGCAUUAGAACUUUUUGUCAAAAAGAAGAUUUAUGUCUUUCUUUAUGUUGAUGACCUUAAUACUACUUUAGUUGUGAAAGUAACUCAUUAAUUGUUCUUAUAAUAUUCUAGUUUCUGCUGUUCAGUUCUCUCUUAAAUAUGGUUCAUGGAAUUCCUACAGCUGUACUACAUAAUAAAUGAAAUACACUGGGCUAUCUGCAAGUUCCACUGCUCUGUAUUUGGGUCAUUAAUGUGCAUUCACUUCCCAUUUAUUCUUACCACGCUCCCUUUGUUGAAUUCGCCAUGCACGCAUGCUCCAUAAACAUGGAUGCAUCAGCACGAAUCAUUAACCAUGUAAUUUGCUUGGUUUAGAACGUCUAUCUAGAAACGCUAGAUGCAUGUUUUAUUUUGAUUGUCUCAGAUAGCUUGAAAUUAUGGUUUCAUUCACCAGUGGCCUAGCUAGUGACCAACUUUUGAUGCAGUUUCUGUCAGUGUAGAGUAUGUGGUAGGAGGAAAUUUAAACAAAUAUCUUAAAUUUUAUUUAAAAUAAGAAAACAUAAACUUAACAUUCAGUUCUAGACACAGUAUCUAUCCAAAUGAAAGCUGUAGCAUUAUAGAUGUCGAAUACUAGGAACAUAAAA